CCUACGGGUGACAGCAGUGAGGAAUAUUGGUCAAUGGACGAGAAUCUGAACCAGCCAAGUAGCGUGAAGGAUGACUGCCCUAUGGGUUGUAAACUUCUUUUAUCUGGGAGUAAAAUGUUCCACGUGUGGGAUUUUGUAUGUACCAUAUGAAUAAGGAUCGGCUAACUCCGUGCCAGCAGCCGCGGUAAUACGGAGGAUCCGAGCGUUAUCCCGAUUUAUUGGGUUUAAAGGGAGCGUCGGUGGAUUUUUAAGUCAGUUGUGAAAGUUUGAGGCUCAACCGUAAAAUUGCCGUUGAAACUGGCAGUCUUGAGUACAGUAGAGGUGGGCGGAAUUCGUGGUGUAGCGGUGAAAUGCUUAGAUAUCACGAAGAACUCCGAUUGCGAAGGCAGUUCACUGGACUGCAACUGACACUGAGGCUCGAAAGUGUGGGUAUCAAACAGGAUUAGAUACCCGUGUAGUC
rnacentral:rRNA from 1 species